CCUGGUGGCUCAGAGGGCAAAGAAUCUGCCUGCAUUGCAGGAGACCCAGGUUCAAUUCCUGGGCCAGGA
rnacentral:tRNA from 1 species